AGCAGCCGCGGUAAUUCCAGCUCCAAUAGCGUAUAUUAAAGUUGUUGCAGUUAAAAAGCUCGUAGUUGAACCUUGGGCCUGGUUGUUCGGUCCGCCUAACCGCGUGCACUGAUGCGACCGGGCCUUUCCUUCUGGCUAGCCUCAUGCCCUUUACUGGGUGUGUUGGGGAUCCAGGACUUUUACUUUGAAAAAAUUAGAGUGUUCAAAGCAGGCCUAUGCUCGAAUACAUUAGCAUGGAAUAAUAGAAUAGGACGGCGGUUCUAUUUUGUUGGUUUCUAGAGCCACCGUAAUGAUUAAUAGGGAUAGUCGGGGGCAUCAGUAUUCAAUUGUCAGAGGUGAAAUUCUUGGAUUUAUUGAAGACUAACUACUGCGAAAGCAUUUGCCAAGGAUGUUUUCAUUAAUCAGUGAACGAAAGUUAGGGGAUCGAAGACGAUCAGAUACCGUCGUAGUCUUAACCAUAAACUAUGCCGACUAGGGAUCGGACGGUGUUCAAUUUAUGACCCGUUCG
rnacentral:rRNA from 1 species